rnacentral:rRNA from 2 species
CAGUUGCUAAGACUGGAUAGGAAAUAAAAAGGCAUCUUUUUAUUUUUAAAAGACCUUUUUCGGAAGGUAUGCUUAAAGAGGGGCUUGCGUCACAUUAGUUAGUUGGCAGGGUAAAGGCCUACCAAGACUAUGAUGUGUAGCUGGACUGAGAGGUUGAACAGCCACAUUGGGACUGAGACACGGCCCAAACUCCUACGGGAGGCAGCAGUAGGGAAUUUUCGGCAAUGGAGGAAACUCUGACCGAGCAACGCCGCGUGAACGAUGAAGUAUUUCGGUAUGUAAAGUUCUUUUAUUGAAGAAGAAAAAAUAGUGGAAAAACUAUCUUGACGAUAUUCAAUGAAUAAGCCCCGGCAAACUAUGUGCCAGCAGCCGCGGUAAUACAUAGGGGGCGAGCGUUAUCCGGAAUUAUUGGGCGUAAAGGGUGCGUAGGCGGUUUAAUAAGUCUAUAGUUUAAUUUCAGUGCUUAACACUGUCCUGCUAUAGAAACUAUUAGACUAGAGUGAGAUAGAGGCAAGUGGAAUUCCAUGUGUAGCGGUAAAAUGCGUAAAUAUAUGGAGGAACACCAGAGGCGUAGGCGGCUUGCUGGGUCUUUACUGACGCUGAGGCACGAAAGCGUGGGGAGCAAACAGGAUUAGAUACCCUGGUAGUCCACGCCGUAAACGAUGAGUACUAAGUGUCGGGAUUACUCGGUACUGAAGUUAACACAUUAAGUACUCCGCCUGAGUAGUACGUACGCAAGUAUGAAACUUAAAGGAAUUGACGGGACUCCGCACAAGCGGUGGAUCAUGUUGUUUAAUUCGAAGAUACACGAAAAACCUUACCAGGUCUUGACAUACUCUGCAAAGCUAUAGCAAUAUAGUGGAGGUUAUCAGGGAUACAGGUGGUGCAUGGUUGUCGUCAGCUCGUGUCGUGAGAUGUUAGGUUAAGUCCUAAAACGAGCGCAACCCUUGUCAUUAGUUGCCAGCAUGUCACGAUGGGCACUUUAAUGAGACUGCCAAUGAAAAAUUGGAGGAAGGUGAGGAUCACGUCAAAUCAUCAUGCCCCUUAUGAUCUGGGCUACAAACGUGAUACAAUGGCUGUUACAAAGAGUAGCUGAAACGCAAGUUUAUAGCCAAUCUCAUAAAAGCAGUCUCAGUUCGGAUUGAAGUCUGCAACUCGACUUCAUGAAGUUGGAAUCGCUAGUAAUCGCGAAUCAGCAUGUCGCGGUGAAUACGUUCUCGGGGUUUGUACACACCGCCC